GGCAACACUGUUGGAAUGGUUAAAAUGGCGGCAUCAAUCAUUGACUAGAAAAAUUAUAAAGCACAUUAGGACUAUAAUCGUAUAGAAGUGUCUUUGUUAACGAUUCUUAAAUAAGGUAUGGGUGUCCCAGCUUUCUUCCGAUGGUUGAGUAAAAAAUAUCCAGGAAUUAUCACUCAUUGCUAUGAG